CAUUGUGGAUGAUGAGAAUUUUAAUCAUACAGUUAUCCCUGUCUGAUUUACAAGUGCUGAAGUUUUUAUCAACUCUGACACAACA